rnacentral:rRNA from 1 species
AGUGAACGCUGGCGGUAGGCCUAACACAUGCAAGUCGAACGGCAGCUCAGUAAGAGCUUGCUCCUACGGGUGGAGACUUACGGACCGGUGCGGACAACAACGGACUACAUUUUUACGCGGGUGCUAAUGUCGGGUAUUAUGCGUAUAUAGCGUCUACGACUUAUGGGAGCUAUAUGGGGUUCUUCGGACCUUUCCCUCUCAUUAGCGCGGUUGUCGGAUUACAUCGCUGCAGGGCUAAAGGCGCUACAAGGCGACGUUGCGUAGCCGGUCUGAGAGGAUGAGCAGCCACACUGGAACUGAGACACGGUCCAGACUCCUACGGGAGGCAGCAGUGGGGAAUAUUGGAGAAGGGGCGCAAGCCUGAUCCAGCCAUACCGCGUGGGUGAAGAAGGCCUUCGGGUUGUAAAGCCCUUUUGUUGGGAAAGAAAAGCAGCAGGUUAAUACCCCGCUGUUCUGACGGUACCCAAAGAAUAAGCACCGGCUAACUUCGUG